rnacentral:rRNA from 1 species
GAGAAUUUAAAUAGCCGCAGUACCCUGACUGUGCAAAGGUAGCAUAAUCAGUUGACUUAUAAUUGAAGUCUAGUAUGAAUGGGAACACGGGAAUAUUCUGUCUUUAAUAUAUAAAAGAAAUUACUAAUUAAGUGAAAAUUCUUAAAAAUAAGAAAAUAGACGAGAAGACCCUAGAAAUUUUUUAAUUUGAUUUUGUUGGGGCGACAGGGUAACAAAAAACUUACCUAAAGUAAUAGGAAAUUUUUUAGUGGUGUAAUUAAAUUACUCUAGGGAUAACAGCAUAAUAUUUUAAAGGUUGUGACCUCGAUGUUGGACUAGGAAAUACACUACUUAAAAGGUAGUGUUUAUGGUUCUGUUCGAACUUUUACUCCUACAU